UAUGAAUUUGAUGCUGGCGUCUUGGUAGU
rnacentral:piRNA from 1 species